AGUCUUGAGAACCCCCAGGGUUCCCCAGAGCACACUUUGGGAACCACUAUCCUCCAUGGCAAUCCUUGGACAGUGGUGACUUCUCACA